rnacentral:rRNA from 1 species
GACGAACGCUGGCGGCGUGCUUAACACAUGCAAGUCGAACGGAAAGGCCCUGCUUUUGUGGGGUGCUCGAGUGGCGAACGGGUGAGUAACACGUGAGUAACCUGCCCUUGACUUUGGGAUAACUUCAGGUAACUGGGGCUAAUACCGGAUAGGAGCUCCUGCUGCAUGGUGGGGGUUGGAAAGUUUCGGCGGUUGGGGAUGGACUCGCGGCUUAUCAGCUUGUUGGUUGGGUAGUGGCUUACCAAGGCUUUGACGGGUAGCCGGCCUGAGAGGGUGACCGGCCACAUGGGUACUGAGAUACGGCCCAGACGCCUACGGUAGGCAGCGGUGGGGAAUAUUGCACAAUGGGCGGAAGCCGGAGGCAGCAACGCCGCGGGCGGGAUGACGGCCUGCGGGUUAUAAACCGCUUUCGCCUGUGACGAAGCGUGAGUGACGGUAAUGGAUAAAGAAGCACCGGCUAACUACGUG